rnacentral:tRNA from 1 species
GCCUUCGUGGUGUAAUGGUCAAGCACACUCAGCGCGUAUUCGAAAGGUCAGUGGUUCGAGUCCCGGCGAAGGCA